rnacentral:rRNA from 1 species
GGCAGCCGCCGCGGGAACACCGGCGGCCCGAGUGGUGAUCGUGAUUAUUGGGUCUAAAGGGUCCGUAGCCGGUUGGUCAGUCCUCCGGGAAAUCUGAUAGCUCAACUAUUAGGCUUUCGGGGGAUACUGCCAGACUUGGAACCGGGAGAGGUAAGAGGUACUACAGGGGUAGGAGUGAAAUCUUGUAAUCCCCGUGGGACCACCUGUGGCGAAGGCGUCUUACCAGAACGGGUUCGACGGUGAGGGACGAAAGCUGGGGGCACGAACCGGAUUAGAUACCCGGGUAGUCCCAGCCGUAAACGAUGCUCGCUAGGUGUCAGGCAUGGCGCGACCGUGUCUGGUGCCGCAGGGAAGCCGUGAAGCGAGCCACCUGGGAAGUACGGCCGCAAGGCUGAAACUUAAAGGAAUUGGCGGGGGAGCACAACAACGGGUGGAAGCCUGCGGUUUAAUUGGACUCAACGCCGGACAACUCACCGGGGGCGACAGCAAUAUGUAGGCCAAGCUGAAGACUUUGCCUGAAUCGCUGAGGAGUGGUGCAUGG